rnacentral:lncRNA from 1 species
CAAAAAUUGAACCAUCUGCUUUACAUAGAGUGGUCGACAAAUUGAAGAAGGAUUACUAUGAAUAUAGGAGCAACCUCCAGGUAACACACACGUGGACACGCUUUGCAUAUUAUCAUACCUCCAUAUUUGUACACAUACACACUUGCACACUUGCACACACACCCAUGUUUAGGUGCUGCCUAAAUAUAUGUCUAUUCACAAUUAUCACUUUUUUUUUUUUUUUUUUUUUUUUCUUUUUUUUUUUUUUCUUUACAUCAUACAGUCUUUUUUAAUCGGUCAAACACUUUCCUACAUAUCUGACAACAAACUUGGAUAUCAAAACUUCGAUUUACAACUGCUAGAAAAGAUAACCAUUCAAGAUGUAAAUAGUGUUUUAAACAACUUAUUUAAUGAUUUAUCUUUGUUUGAAGUAACUAUAGCUGGUGAUGUUACAGAUUUUAUACAUUAUUAUAUUCGUCAUUACUUAGGUACUAUAACAAAUAAUAAAGAAAAUAAAAAAAUUACAAAUUUUGAUAUAUUAAAUAAUAAAAAGGAAGUGACAAGCGUGUUAAAAAAGUCAAACAUGAUGAAUAAUGAAACGAUAGAAAGUGGAAGUAGUAAUGAUACCACAUCAGUAACUAAUAACAAAUCAAAUGGUAUGACAUACGAAUAUAAUUUAUUAUGUCCGUUAGUAAAGUUGGAACAAAAAUCAAAACAAACCACAUAUGUAUAUAUAAAUGACAAAGAAGAACAUGCUGUUUUUUUAUUAAUGGGUAAAAGUGCUAACUAUUUUGGCUUUCUUCCAAACGGAGUACAUAUAUCUAUUUAUUUAUUACAAUUUUUAAAAAAAAUAGAAUACCUUAUAAGCAAUAAUAAUAAUGAACAAAAGAUAAGUGAUAAGAAGAAAAAUAUGAUCGACAUCGAAUUAGAAAAAAUAAAAAGCUACAUAGAUACCGACGAUUUCAGUAAAACCAAAUUUGACGAAUUUAUACAAAAAAAAAAAAAAUUAUAUACAAACCCUAUUUUUUUUUCUGCCGUAUCAUAUAUAAUUCAAUAUAUAUUAAACAGUAAAUUUUUUCAUUAUUUAAGAGAAAAAAAAGACUUAACAUAUGAUUCAUCAUUUGAAUUU